rnacentral:rRNA from 1 species
AGCGAACGCUGGCGGCAGGCUUAACACAUGCAAGUCGAGCGGGCACUUCGGUGUCAGCGGCAGACGGGUGAGUAACACGUGGGAACGUACCCUUUGGUUCGGAAUAACGCUGGGAAACUAGCGCUAAUACCGGAUACGCCCUUUUGGGGAAAGGCUUGCUGCCGAAGGAUCGGCCCGCGUCUGAUUAGCUAGUUGGUGGGGUAAUGGCCUACCAAGGCGACGAUCAGUAGCUGGUCUGAGAGGAUGAUCAGCCACACUGGGACUGAGACCCGGCCCAGACUCCUACGGGAGGCAGCAGUGGGGAAUAUUGGACAAUGGGCGCAAGCCUGAUCCAGCCAUGCCGCGUGAGUGAUGAAGGCCUUAGGGUUGUAAAGCUCUUUUGUCCGGGACGAUAAUGACGGUACCGGAAGAAUAAGCCCCGGCUAACUUCGUG